rnacentral:rRNA from 1 species
AGUGAACGCUGGCGGUAGGCCUAACACAUGCAAGUCGAACGGCAGCACAGUAAGAGCUUGCUCUUACGGGUGGCGAGUGGCGGACGGGUGAGGAAUACAUCGGAAUCUACUUUUUCGUGGGGGAUAACGUAGGGAAACUUACGCUAAUACCGCAUACGACCUACGGGUGAAAGCAGGGGAUCUUCGGACCUUGCGCGAUUGAAUGAGCCGAUGUCGGAUUAGCUAGUUGGCGGGGUAAAGGCCCACCAAGGCGACGAUCCGUAGCUGGUCUGAGAGGAGGAUCGGCGACACUGGAACUGAGACACGGUCCAGACUCCUACGGGAGGCAGCAGUGGGGAAUAUUGGGCAAUGGGCGCAAGCCUGAUCCAGCCAUACCGCGUGGGUGAAGAAGGCCUUCGGGUUGUAAAGCCCUUUUGUUGGGAAAGAAAAGCAGCAGGUUAAUACCCCGCUGUUCUGACGGUACCCAAAGAAUAAGCACCGGCUAACUUCGUG